rnacentral:snRNA from 1 species
UCAAAAGAAGUGGUGAAAGAGAUAC